rfam:Sphingobium sp. Ant17 Contig_235, whole genome shotgun sequence.
CUUCGUCCACCUGCUGCGGGCAGAUGAAGUGGAUGUGCGCGUCGAUGCCACCAGCGGUCAGGAUGCGCCCUUCGCCCGCGAUGAUUUCGGUGCCGGGGCCGAUGGGGAUGGUGACGCCGGGCUGGACGUCGGGGUUGCCUGCCUUGCCGAUCGCGGCGAUGCGACCAUCGCGGAUGGAGACGUCCGCCUUGAUGAUGCCCCAAUGGUCGAGGAUCAGCGCGUUGGUGAUGACCGUGUCGGGCGCGCCGUCCGCGCGGGACAUCUGGCUUUGGCCCAUGCCGUCGCGGAU